AUUGAACGCUGGCGGCAGGCCUAACACAUGCAAGUCGAGCGCGCGGCGGACGGGUGAGUAAUGUCUGGGAAACUGCCUGAUGGAGGGGGAUAACUAAUGGAAACGGUAGCUAAUACCGCAUACCAUCAGAUGUGCCCAGAUGGGAUUAGCUAGGUGGUGGGGUAACGGCUCACCAAGGCGACGAUCCCUAGCUGGUCUGAGAGGAUGACCAGCCACACUGGAACUGAGACACGGUCCAGACUCCUACGGGAGGCAGCAGUGGGGAAUAUUGGACAAUGGGCGAAAGCCUGAUGCAGCCAUGCCGCGUGUGUGAUGAAGGCCUUCGGGUUGUAAAGUACUUUCAGCGGGGAGGCGUUACCCGCAGAAUAAGCACCGGCUAACUCCGUGCCAGCAGCCGCGGUAAUUC
rnacentral:rRNA from 1 species